AGCAGCCGCGGUAAUUCCAGCUCCAAUAGCGUAUAUUAAAGUUGUUGCAGUUAAAAAGCUCGUAGUUGAAUUUCGGGAUCRAAUUGUUGGUCGUGCUUCGGUACGCACUGGCAUUAUUGGUUCCUACCUUCUGAAGAACCGCGAUGUCAUUAAUUUGGUGUCGUGGGGAAUCAGGACUGUUACUUUGAAAAAAUUAGAGUGUUUAAAGCAGGCUUACGCUUGAAUACAUUAGCAUGGAAUAAUGAAAUAGGACGUUUGAUUCUAUUUUGUUGGUUUCUAGGAUCGACGUAAUGAUUAAUAGGGAUAGUUGGGGGCAUUAGUAUUCAAUUGUCAGAGGUGAAAUUCUUGGAUUUAUUGAAGACUAACUACUGCGAAAGCAUUUGCCAAGGAUGUUUUCAUUAAUCAAGAACGAAAGUUAGGGGAUCGAAGACGAUCAGAUACCGUCGUAGUCUUAACCAUAAACUAUGCCGACUAGGGAUCGGAUGA
rnacentral:rRNA from 1 species